GCCUGUGGCAUAGUGGUUUCAGCAUUGGACUACAACUCUGGAGACCAGGGUUCAAAUCCCCACUUGGCC